ensembl:misc_RNA Metazoa_SRP Metazoan signal recognition particle RNA
GCUGGGUGUGGUGGUGUGUGCCUGUAAUCCCAGCUACUUGGGAGGCUGAGGCAAGAGAAUCGCUUGAGCCCAGGAGGUGGAGGUUACAGUGAGUUGAGAUCAAGCCACUGUACUCCAGCCUGGGCAACAGAGCGAGACUCUGUCUCAA